rnacentral:ncRNA from 1 species
UUUUCAACUUUGUCAUGAUUAGCUCAUAUCUUAGACCAAACUUUAGCAUGGUAAUUUAAGUGUCUGAACCUUCAAUUUAACCCAGCAAGAAACAUUAAACAAUAUUAGAAAUAAUAAUUUAAUUAGCGUCUUUAGGCUUGACCAACUAGGUGCCAGCAGUCGCGGUCACACCUGGAAGCCAAAUUUAUGAAAUAUAGGCUGGCUAAAAAUGAAACUUAAUAAUUAAGUAAAAUUUCUAUUAAACUAAAACCCAACUGAAUUAAAGACCCAAAUUCUGAUUAUAAACCGGGAUUAGAUACCCCGUUAUACAGAACCAAAAUCAUAAGCUUAAGCACUAAGACUUUAUAGUUAAAACUUAAAUGACAUGGCGGCAGCUUCAAAUUUCAGGGGAACUUACCAGGUAAAUGAUAACCCGCAAAACACCCUACUCUUUCUCUAAAAAGCUUGUAUAUCGCCGUCUUCAGAGUCCUUCUAAGAAGAAUUCAAAACGUUUUAAAUUUUAACAAAAAGACAGGUCAAGAUGCAACCAAUGUGAGAGUCAUAAGGUGAGUUACAAUGAUUUAUAAUCUUGGAAUUUUUUUGAAAUUCAAAAAGAAAAUCGGACUUGAAAGUAAAACUUAUAAUUCACUCUAAUUGAAUUUUCAAAAAGCUGUGCACAAAUCGCCCGUCGCUCUCGUUGAAAAAGGAGAUAAGUCGUAACAUAGUAAGUGUACUGGAAAGUGCACUUGUCUAAAU